rnacentral:rRNA from 1 species
UAUAAAGUGGCGAACGGCUGAGUAACACGUGGGCAACCUGCCCUUUGCACUGGGAUAGCCUCGGGAAACCGAGGUUAAUACCGGAUACUCCAUAUAUAUCGCAUGAUGUAUAUGGGAAAGCUCCGACGGCAAAGGAUGGGCCCGCGGCCUGUUAGCUAGUUGGUGGGGUAACGGCCUACCAAGGCAAUGAUGGGUAGCCGGGUUGAGAGACCGACCGGCCAGAUUGGGACUGAGACACGGCCCAGACUCCUACGGGAGGCAGCAGUU